CAAGUAGAACGCUGAGGUUAGGUGUUUACACUACACUGAUGAGUUGCGAACGGGUGAGUAACGCGUAGGUAACCUGCCUCAUAGCGGGGGAUAACUAUUGGAAACGAUAGCUAAUACCGCAUAAGAGUAAUUAACACAUGUUAGUUAUUUAAAAGGAGCAAUUGCUUCACUGUGAGAUGGACCUGCGUUGUAUUAACUAGUUGGUGAGGUAAAGGCUCACCAAGGCGACGAUACAUAGCCGACCUGAGAGGGUGAUCGGCCACACUGGGACUGAAACACGGCCCAGACUCCUACGGGAGGCAGCAGUAGGGAAUCUUCCGCAAUGGACGGAAGUCUGACCGAACAACGCCGCGUGAGUGAAGAAGGUUUUCGGAUCGUAAAGCUCUGUUGUUAGAGAAGAACGUUGGUAGGAGUGGAAAAUCUACCAAGUGACGGUAACUAACCAGAAAGGGACGGCUAACUACGUGCCAGCAGCCGCGGUAAUACGUAGGUCCCGAGCGUUGUCCGGAUUUAUUGGGCGUAAAGCGAGCGCAGGCGGUUCUUUAAGUCUGAAGUUAAAGGCAGUGGCUUAACCAUUGUACGCUUUGGAAACUGGAGGACUUGAGUGCAGAAGGGGAGAGUGGAAUUCCAUGUGUAGCGGUGAAAUGCGUAGAUAUAUGGAGGAACACCGGUGGCGAAAGCGGCUCUCUGGUCUGUAACUGACGCUGAAGCUCGAAAGCGUGGGGAGCAAACAGGAUUAGAUACCCUGGUAGUCCACGCCGUAAACGAUGAGUGCUAGUGUUAGCCCUUUCCGGCGCUUAGUGCCGCAGCUAACGCAUUAAGCACUCCGCCUGGGGAGUACGACCGCAAGGUUGAAACUCAAAGGAUUGACGGGGGACCCGCACAAGCGGUGGA
rnacentral:rRNA from 1 species